UAGAGCAUGGGCAGUGGGGCAAGCAGGUGGGUGUAAGUCUUGGGGUGUAGGUAUUAAAAAAACGAAAAAAUUGUCUCUCUCUUCACACCCGGGUGUAAGUUUACACUCGGGUGUAACACUUUUUCUCUCUAUCUCUCUCUUUCUUUCUCUUUCUUUCUCUUUCUCUUUUUCCUUUUGCUUUAAAUUAUAAUACUAAAAAAAUACUUACACC
rnacentral:lncRNA from 1 species